AGCAGCCGCGGUAAUUCCAGCUCCAAUAGCGUAUAUUAAAGUUGCUGCAGUUAAAAAGCUCGUAGUUGAAUUUCGGGACUGAUAUGUCGGUCGUGCCUCGGUACGUACUGGUAUUUUUGGUUUCUCCCUUCUGACGAACCUUGAUGUCAUUAAUUUGGUGUCUUGGGAAAUCAGGACUGUUACUUUGAAAAAAUUAGAGUGUUUAAAGCAGGCUCACGCUUGAAUACAUUAGCAUGGAAUAAUGAAAUAGGACGUUUGAUUCUAUUUUGUUGGUUUCUAGGAUUGACGUAAUGAUUAAUAGGGAUAGUUGGGGGCAUUAGUAUUCAAUUGUCAGAGGUGAAAUUCUUGGAUUUAUUGAAGACUAACUACUGCGAAAGCAUUUGCCAAGGAUGUUUUCAUUAAUCAAGAACGAAAGUUAGGGGAUCGAAGACGAUCAGAUACCGUCGUAGUCUUAACCAUAAACUAUGCCGACUAGGGAUCGGAUGAUGUUAAUUUUUUAAUGACUCAUUCGGCGCCUUACG
rnacentral:rRNA from 1 species